rnacentral:rRNA from 1 species
GAUGAACGCUAGCGGGAGGCCUAAUACAUGCAAGUCGAACGGUAAGGCUCCUUCGGGAGUACACGAGUGGCGGACGGGUGCGUAACGCGUACGAAAUAUACCUUCAACAGGGAGAUACCUCCGGGAAACUGGAAAUAAUACCCCAUAGUAUUAUUGAUUCGCAUGAAUUAANAUUAAAACUUCGGUGGUUGAAGAUUAUCGUGCGUCUGAUUAGUUAGUUGGUGAGGUAAUGGCUCACCAAGACGAUGAUCAGUAGCUGGUCUGAGAGGAUGAUCAGCCACACUGGAACUGAGACACGGUCCAGACUCCUACGGGAGCAGCAGUAGGGAAUAUUGGACAAUGGGCGGAAGCCUGAUCCAGCCAUCCCGCGUGCAGGAAUAAGGCCCUAUGGGUUGUAAACUG